rnacentral:rRNA from 1 species
UUCGUAGGAGGUCUGUUAAAAUUGGGGUGAAAUCCCGGAGCUCAACUCCGGAAUUGCCUUGAUGACUGACGGACUAGAGUGCUGGAGAGGUAAGCGGAAUACCAAGUGUAGCGGUGGAAUGCGUAGAUAUUUGGUAGAACACCAAUGGCGAAGGCAGCUUACUGGACAGUAACUGACUCUGAGGGACGAAAGCGUGGGGAGCAAACA